rnacentral:rRNA from 1 species
AGAGUUUGAUCCUGGCUCAGAUUGAACGCUGGCGGCAUGCCUAACACAUGCAAGUCGAACGGAAACGAUGGAAGCUUGCUUCCAGGCGUCGAGUGGCGGACGGGUGAGUAAUACUUAGGAAUCUGCCCAUUAGUGGGGGACAACUCGAGGAAACUCGAGCUAAUACCGCAUACGCCCUACGGGGGAAAGCGGGGGUCUUCGGACCUCGCGCUAAUGGAUGAGCCUAAGCCGGAUUAGCUUGUUGGUAGGGUAAUGGCCUACCAAGGCGACGAUCCGUAGCUGUUCUGAGAGGAAGAUCAGCCACACUGGGACUGAGACACGGCCCAGACUCCUACGGGAGGCAGCAGUGGGGAAUAUUGGACAAUGGGCGCAAGCCUGAUCCAGCAAUGCCGCGUGUGUGAAGAAGGCCUGCGGGUUGUAAAGCACUUUCAGUAGAGAAGAAAAGCUUAGGGUUAAUACCCCUGGGUCUUGACGUUACCUACAGAAGAAGCUCCGGCUAACUCCGUGCCAGCAGCCGCGGUAAUACGGAGGGAGCGAGCGUUAAUCGGAAUUACUGGGCGUAAAGCGCGCGUAGGCGGCUUUGUCAGUCGGAUGUGAAAGCCCUGGGCUCAACCUGGGAAUGGCAUUCGAUACUGCAGAGCUAGAGUAUGGUAGAAGGGAAGUGGAAUUUCCGGUGUAGCGGUGAAAUGCGUAAAUAUC